CCUACGGGAGGCUGCAGUGAGGAAUAUUGGUCAAUGGGCGGGAGCCUGAACCAGCCAAGUCGCGUGAGGGACGACGGUCCUACGGGUCGUAAACCGCUUUUGCACGGGGAUAACACCCUCCACUGGUGGAGGUCUGCAGGUACCGUGCGAAUAAGGGCCGGCUAAUUCCGUGCCAGCAGCCGCGGUAAUACGGAAGGCCCGAGCGUUAUCCGGAUUCAUUGGGCUUAACGGGAGCGUAGGCGGACGUUCAAGUCAGCUGUAAAAUCGCGCGGCUCAACCGCGCCCCGCAGUUGAAACUGGACGCAUUGAGUUCACAACAGGCAGGCGGAAUUCGUGGUGUAGCGGUGAAAUGCAUAGAUAGCACGAGGAACCCCGAUUGCGAAGGCAGCCUGCCGGGGUGCGACUGACGCUGAGGCUCGAAGGUGCGGGUAUCAAACAGGAUUAGAUACCCUUGUAGUC
rnacentral:rRNA from 1 species